CUUUACAUUUCACCGAAAAGCAUUGUGAUUUCAUCAUCUCCACCUUCCUUAUUCUUAUCCUUAUCUUUAUAUCUAUAUUAUUGAUUUUUCUGGUUCUUAGUUGUGUUGUAAGACUAGGACUCUGCUAGAUUUAUGUUUUCAUUGACAAAAACUGUCAUUAAAAUGAGCCAAGUUCCCCCAAGGAGAGGCCAAAUCAAGGCUCAAAUAUUUGAGAGCAUGGUGAAGGCUAUUGCUUCAGCUGCUUCAAAAGCAAUGGGGAAAAACAAAGGAGAAGGCGGUGGCAGUGCGUCUACUACCAUAACUCCCAAGCAAAUGGUGACAUCUCUUAGGUUUCUCAAAUGGAACCCUUUGAAUAGUUAUUUGUAUGAACCACAAAAAUACCCAGACUGUGAAAACCUUUCGUUUUAGAUGCAGAUCACAGCUUCUUAUGGUUUUUUUUUUCUUUGGGAUAAGGUUAACCCUACACUAACUAAUGAGUUUUUUUUUAAGAGUUAAGGUAGGGGAUGUUUAUGAACUCUUGUAAGUUUACAUAUUGUAUGUCGUCAGUUUUAAGGCGUCUUCCUUCCAUGGUUGGUUGUUUCUUCUGGUUUUUUUUUUUGAGGAGGAGAUGAUCUUUAUGGAAGAAACUGGUUGUAUUGUAUGAAGAUUUUGUUUCUUAUUUUUGUGUGUUUGUGGGGAUUUAAUGUGAUGUCCAGACCCUGAAUCUUUUUAUGUUUAGUCUGUUUGCCUUUUGGAAGAGGGGCUAAUAUGUCGGCUUAGCUAUGGAUUAAGAAGUAUUUAAUUAGUAAUUGUUAAAAAAUUUACAGAUAAAAUGGUUGAGGGUGAUUGAUUGUUUUGGGAGAAA